rnacentral:rRNA from 1 species
UACGUAGGGGGCUAGCGUUGUCCGGAAUCAUUGGGCGUAAAGAGCGUGUAGGCGGCCCGGUAAGUCCGCUGUGAAAGUCGGGGGCUCAACCCUCGAAUGCCGGUGGAUACUGUCGGGCUAGAGUGCGGAAGAGGCGAGUGGAAUUCCUGGUGUAGCGGUGAAAUGCGCAGAUAUCAGGAGGAACACCAAUUGCGAAGGCAGCUCGCUGGGACGUAACUGGCGCUGAGACGCGAAAGCGUGGGGAGCAAACAGG